UGGCUCAGGAUGAACGCUGGCGGCGUGCCUAAUACAUGCAAGUCGAACGAGUUCUGAUUAUUGAAAGGUGCUUGCAUCUUGAUUUAAUUUUGAACGAGUGGCGGACGGGUGAGUAACACGUGGGUAACCUGCCCUUAAGUGGGGGAUAACAUUUGGAAACAGAUGCUAAUACCGCAUAAAUCCAAAAACCGCAUGGUUCUUGGCUGAAAGAUGGCGUAAGCUAUCGCUUUUGGAUGGACCCGCGGCGUAUUAGCUAGUUGGUGAGGUAACGGCUCACCAAGGCAAUGAUACGUAGCCGAACUGAGAGGUUGAUCGGCCACAUUGGGACUGAGACACGGCCCAAACUCCUACGGGAGGCAGCAGUAGGGAAUCUUCCACAAUGGACGCAAGUCUGAUGGAGCAACGCCGCGUGAGUGAAGAAGGCUUUCGGGUCGUAAAACUCUGUUGUUGGAGAAGAAUGGUCGGCAGAGUAACUGUUGUCGGCGUGACGGUAUCCAACCAGAAAGCCACGGCUAACUACGUGCCAGCAGCCGCGGUAAUACGUAGGUGGCAAGCGUUAUCCGGAUUUAUUGGGCGUAAAGCGAGCGCAGGCGGUUUUUUAAGUCUGAUGUGAAAGCCCUCGGCUUAACCGAGGAAGUGCAUCGGAAACUGGGAAACUUGAGUGCAGAAGAGGACAGUGGAACUCCAUGUGUAGCGGUGAAAUGCGUAGAUAUAUGGAAGAACACCAGUGGCGAAGGCGGCUGUCUGGUCUGUAACUGACGCUGAGGCUCGAAAGCAUGGGUAGCGAACAGGAUUAGAUACCCUGGUAGUCCAUGCCGUAAACGAUGAAUGCUAGGUGUUGGAGGGUUUCCGCCCUUCAGUGCCGCAGCUAACGCAUUAAGCAUUCCGCCUGGGGAGUACGACCGCAAGGUUGAAACUCAAAGGAAUUGACGGGGGCCCGCACAAGCGGUGGAGCAUGUGGUUUAAUUCGAAGCAACGCGAAGAACCUUACCAGGUCUUGACAUCUUUUGAUCACCUGAGAGAUCAGGUUUCCCCUUCGGGGGCAAAAUGACAGGUGGUGCAUGGUUGUCGUCAGCUCGUGUCGUGAGAUGUUGGGUUAAGUCCCGCAACGAGCGCAACCCUUAUGACUAGUUGCCAGCAUUUAGUUGGGCACUCUAGUAAGACUGCCGGUGACAAACCGGAGGAAGGUGGGGAUGACGUCAAAUCAUCAUGCCCCUUAUGACCUGGGCUACACACGUGCUACAAUGGAUGGUACAACGAGUUGCGAGACCGCGAGGUCAAGCUAAUCUCUUAAAGCCAUUCUCAAUUCGGACUGUAGGCUGCAACUCGCCUACACGAAGUCGGAAUCGCUAGUAAUCGCGGAUCAGCACGCCGCGGUGAAUACGUUCCCGGGCCUUGUACACACCGCCCGUCACACCAUGAGAGUUUGUAACACCCGAAGCCGGUGGCGUAACCCUUUUAGGGAGCGAGCCGUCUAAGGUGAGACAAAUG
rnacentral:rRNA from 1 species